AUUGAACGCUGGCGGCAGGCCUAACACAUGCAAGUCGAACGCUUCGCGGACGGGUGUGUAAUGUCUGGGAAACUGCCCGAUGGAGGGGGAUAACUACUGGAAACUGUAGCCAAUACCGCAUACCGUCGUAUGUGCCCAGAUGGGAUUAGCUAGUAGGUGGGGUAAUGGCUCACCUUGGCGACGCUCGCUAGCGGGUCUGAGAGGAUGACCAGCCACACGUGAACUGAGACACGGUCCAGACUCCUACGGGAGGCAGCAGUGGGGAAUAUUGCACAAUGGGCGAAAGCCUGAUGCAGCCAUGCCGCGUGUAUGAAGAAGGCCUUCGGGUUGUAAAGUACUUUCAGCGAGGAGGCGUUACUCGCAGAAGAAGCACCGGCUAACUCCGUGCCAGCAGCCGCGGUAAUAC
rnacentral:rRNA from 1 species